UACGUAGGGUGCAGGCGUUACUCGGAAUUACUGGGCGUAAAGGGCGCGUAGGCGGUGUGUCAAGUCAGGCGUGAAAGCCCCGGGCUCAACCUGGGAACCGCGCUUGAGACUGGCACGCUCGAGUUCGGGAGAGGAUGGUGGAAUUCCCAGUGUAGAGGUGAAAUUCGUAGAUAUUGGGAAGAACACCGAUGGCGAAGGCAGCCAUCUGGACCGACACUGACGCUGAGGCGCGAAAGCGUGGGGAGCAAACAGG
rnacentral:rRNA from 1 species